rnacentral:tRNA from 1 species
ACUAUAUUGGCAGAAUUUAUGCAUUAAAUUUAGAAUUUAAUAAAAUGACUUUAAUCAUAUUUAGUA